GAUAUCUGCUGGGGGUGUCCGUUAGCCGGACUGAGAGAAGAGCGCGCUUGUAAGGCUCUUUAACCCUUCGAACCUGAUCUGGUUGAUACCAGCGUAGGGAAGUAGGGAGAGACGGCU
rnacentral:ncRNA from 1 species